AGGUCCUUCCUCUGAGCUCUCCAGCACAGAACAUUCCCUAAGGGGCCUUACUUCACAGUCUUUUGCAAGUAGAUUGAAGUAAUGAGUCAGCAAGCUCAAAAGACAAGCCGCUGGACUGAGGGAGAAAAGACUGAAAUCGAUGCAUCCAUACACGUUGGAGACAAAGCACACCUGCAAAUUCCUGAAAUUGAUGCAACCUGUCUGUAAAAACUCAGCAAAGAGCAACUCAAAGAUAAGGCGGUGGGAACAAAAAUACCUCAUUUUUAACCUUGACCCCUGUGCCAACUCACCAGUAACAUCACAAUGGUAGAGCUUGACAAAGCACAACCAAAGGAGGGGAAGAGAAUGGUGAAAAGAGAGGAGGUAGAAACAGAGUCUGAGGACCAUGGCUUUAUUUCAGGAAUGCUCUCCUUGAAAUUCUCCUCUGAGACAUAAGGACAAGGCAACACAUCCCAAAGAAGAACAUGUCUGGCCCUCGCUGGUGGCACAGCGGGUUAAAGCACAGCACUACAAGCUGGC